CUGCAGGGUUCAGUAUUCAGUCUAUGGAGAGCUGCAGGGUUCAGUAUUCAGUCUAUGGAGAGCUGCAGGGCUCAGUAUUCAGUCUAUGGAGAGCUGCAGGGCUCAGUAUUCAGUCUAUGGAGAGCUGCAGGGUUCAGUAUUCAGUCUAUGGAGAGCUGCAGGGUUCAGUAUUCAGUCUAUGGAGAGCUGCAGGGUUCAGUGCUCAGUCUAUG